rnacentral:rRNA from 1 species
CAGCCGCCGCGGUAAUACGAAGGGGGCUAGCGUUGUUCGGAUUUACUGGGCGUAAAGCGCACGUAGGCGGACUUUUAAGUCAGGGGUGAGAUCCCGGGGCUCAACCCCGGAACUGCCUUUGAUACUGGAAGUCUUGAGUAUGGUAGAGGUGAGUGGAAUUCCGAGUGUAGAGGUGAAAUUCGUAGAUAUUGGGAAGAACACCGGUGGCGAAGGCGGCGACCUGGUCCUUUACUGACGCUGAGGCGCGAAAGCGUGGGGAGCAAACAGGAUUAGAUACCCCCGUAGUCCCUGUCUCUUAUAC